UUUUUUUUUUUGGAUUAGCGAAGAAAGAAAAGAUUUUGGUUUUAAUUUUAGCCUGAUCACCAUUACAUGGAUCAAAAGUUUGAUGGGUCAAGGGCUUAGUGUUGGGAUUGAUGAUUUGGCUAAUCAAUGCCUCUGUAAGGUUGAUAUAAAACCAUGGUUCUCUUAAAAAAAAAAAAAAAAAGUGUCUCAAAAUUUAGAAGUGGAUUCUAGUAAAAUUAGAUUUACUGGAACUUUUGCUUUCUCAGUUAUUUUGUAUGCUCACUAAUUUUCAGCAGGUAAUUUCAAUAUAUUAUUUUGGAUGAAACAUUCACUUAGAAUCUCAAAGGCUAGUAGAAUGUUUAGAGCUAUAAUAUUUCUAAACAAUUUCAUCUCUUCUGCUUGGAGGUAAUGGGGCAAUGAUAGGUCAUAACUGCAAUAGGAAAUUUCUGUAUUUGCUCAGUUGCCAUUGGGCUGGUAAUAGAAAUCAUUGUCAUAUAUGGGAUUCAUCACAGGGGGCAUCUCAAUUUCUAUGCCAAUAGUUCUUUCUGUUACAAGCUAACUAUGGGCAAGUCACAAGAAUAUGAUAAAGGUGGUAUUUCCAAUCCUUUUAUUAUUAUUAUUUCCUUGACUGACAUGACCAUAAAUUAUGUAAGUAGGUUGCUUAUGGGAAAUUGCUUAGGUCACCAAUGUUGAUGACUUUCAUGUUGCACUCUUAUGGCUAUGCUCCAUAUCUGCAAUUCCCUUGUUUAAAGAUUUCAUAGAAAUGUACAAUAUCUUAUGAGAAAGAUGUUUAUGUGCUAAACAGUUCCAGGUGGGCCCUUUAUGUAUAAACAAUAUCUCAUCUAAUAUCCUUCUCAAUUGUUGGGUAUGUUACUAGAUAAAACAUUUUGUAGUUUGUGUCAUAAUGGUUACUCCAGCUUAGUUGGGUACUUCUUCUUCAGUGCCAUCUCUGCUGCCACCACAUCCAAGCUCACCACCGGCAUAUCCAAAUUUAUAUGGCAAGCUCUAAGAAAUGGCCAAGGUUCAAGUACUUAAAAGAGAGAUCUGUUGAGGUCAAUUUACUAGAUAAAACAUAUUGUAGUUUGUGUGCUAAUGGUUACUCCUACUUAGUUGCGUAGUUCUUCUUCGGUACAAUCUCUGCUGCCACUACAUCCAAGGUCACCAUUGGCUUAUUUAGAUUUGUUAGAUUUGUACAACAGGUUUAGUGUACGAGGAUUUUAAGUGUACUAUUCAACAAAUAUUUUGUGUAGCAUGUAGUGAUUCCUAUUUCAAAUUUAAGAAUGUAAAUGGCAAUAAGCAGAGUAGUUGAGUUGU